AAGCACUUUGUCCUCGCCUGCAACUCCAGCCGAGACAACCCUGCCUUCACUUCACCAUCUCCCUCACUCUCUUGUACUCCUCCCUUACCACACGGUCGUGUACCUCUGGCAACCCGUCACGGUCUUAACACAUAGCCCCCACCAUUCCUCCCUCACGGUCAUCACAUUAGCCGAGCUCAACUUUUCUUGCUGUCAUCAUCACCAUCAACCACAGUCACUCCACGACCACCAUCACAGCUGCUCCCCAACUCCCUGUGAGGAUAGAUCCAAAUCGAGCCCUCUCUCAUCUCUCUAUAGCUUCGCACACUCACUUUAAGGCUUCCCAAGCUCUCAGACCAGCCACUCUCCCUCAUCUUCUCCCAUCUCCCUCUGCCAACCAUCACAGCCAAUCGGCCGUGAGCCGCCAACCACCGAGAGCCACCAGACCAAACCAGCUGUCCCAACCACCUUUGCCAUCUCCAGCAAUCAGACUUCAUUAACUCAUGGCCACCUGCAUUCCCAAACUGGUCACCCUCCUAUAGAUCAAGUCCUCCCUCAUCUCUCUUCACUAUCAACGCCUCGACCUCCCUGCAACUCAGGUAUAUCACCAUCCCCCUCACUCUUAAACUCUCAUGCUCUCCCUCUGUGUCUCUCUCUUCCACUCUGUCUCUGUGCGUUCCUUCUUGUUCAUUUUUAUGGGUUUUGUGAACUUCAUGAGAGCCUAUCUAGGUUCUUGAAGGAUUCAAAAUUGGAUUUGGGCGCUGUGUUGUGCACUUUCUGUAAUUGUUACGCUUCUUAUUGAUUGCAGUUUCAUCUGAAUCUCUUUAUUCAAUCCUCGGGUGUAUCGUGUGUCUCGCUUCUGGGUCUUUGUGGACUUCUUGAGUGCUUUGUCUUGUUGCUUAUUUUUUUCAUGAAGGGUAAUUGGAGGUCGCAACCCUGUGGGGUUUCGCAGUUUGAUACCUGGACUCAUUGGAGAUCUUGAGAAAUGGGUGGGUUCUGAAAAUUGUAUAAAGGAUUUUGGGGUAGUUCUUAUUCCCAUGGAUUUUGCAUCUUUAUAGUUUUUCUUUGCUUCCACAUUAUGGUUAGCAUGGGCUAUAGCAUUCUCUGACUCUCGAUCUACAAAGUUUUCCAUUUUGUUGUUUGGGAGAAUAUCAAAGUGUGAUAGAGAGUUAGUGUAGAGAUCCAAACCGUAAUAAGUUGGGUUCGUUGACGAAGGAGUCAUGUUCGUUGACGAAGUCUUUCAAAGCCUCAUCGAUGAAUUUCAGAGCCUCUUUGACGAGAAAAUAACUAGUGGGUCAGUAAAAAAUAUUCGGACUGGGCUCGGCGACGAAAGGUAUGGCCUCAUCGACGAGUUGUGUGGUGGAUUCGUCGAUGAAGGCGCCACCUCGUCGACGAGUUUGACUCAGUCAAAAGCCCUAUAAAUAUCCAUUUUGAUUGCUUAAGAGCGAAGUUUGCUCCCAAAAGCUCUCUCUCUCUCUCUCUCUCUCUCUCUCUACACUGCGAUUUUCUCUCUUUCUCUCUCUCUCUCUCUCUCUCUCUCUCUCUAAGGUUCUUCGUCGUUCGAUGUCUGUUUCUAAAAACGGAGGUUCUUGCGGGGAUCAGAGGAGGAAGUUCUACAACUUUAGCGAAUUGGAUCAUUAUUUUGAAGGUUUUUAGGUUUUCCCAAAAAUCGAGGUUUAUCAGGACGCCGAUCCUAGUUGCUUAAGGGACUGAGAGAAUUGUUUUUGGUUGUAGCAUACGUAAGUAGUUUAUGUAUAUAUUGAACUUAGUUGGAAUAUCCUUUUUGGGGUUGUAUUAAUAGGAUAUGUUCGAAGUCUAUAUAAAUGUAUUUGAGGAUACAACAGUAAA